AUGCAGUCGUCACUCACAGGCUAGAUGUCUGGUAUAUAACCGUAUGUAAUUUUCUUUUAUAUUUUGGUAAUAGAAUGGUAAAGUCGUGCUGUUUUGUGUGUUGGUGACUUGUAUAAUGAAAUUUAUUUACCUGAUUUUGUUGCUGAUGCUGGCAUGUGUGUGGCCAGCAUGUACCACCAUACGACAUGCCGGUCCACUGGCCUACGCAGCCUUAAGAGGGCAUCCUACCUUCAACCGCUUCUGGCCUAGUCUGUCCAGAAGGAUAGCCCAACAGUCACCGUUAAAUGAUACUGUAGAUUCUACUAGAGAUAGGUCUUCUAUAGAUGAUAGCUCUACUAGAUAUGUUAACAGCAAUUUUAAUUCUACCACUACAGAUGUGAAUUCUACUAGAGAUUUUGAUUCUACUGGAUAUGUUAUUUCUAAUGGAGAUAGAUUCACUUAAAAAUAGUAAUGAAAUCGCAAUUUCAAUGCACUUUGAUAAGGUUUUUGCACGCAUAUUAAUAUGUGAUACUUACUGCUUGUAGGUGUAGGGAAUAUGUCAUGAUGAAAGUAGAAGGUAGUGAAAAGUGAUAAUACAAGUUUCAGACAAGAGUUAAAUUA